UACGGGGGGGGCAAGCGUUGUUCGGAAUUACUGGGCGGAAAGGGCUCGUAGGUGGCCAACUAAGUCAUACGUGAAAUCCCUCGGCUUAACCGGGGAACUGCGUCUGAUACUGGAUGGCUUGAGGUUGGGAGAGGGAUGCGGAAUUCCAGGUGUAGCGGUGAAAUGCGUAGAUAUCUGGAGGAACACCGGUGGCGAAGGCGGCAUCCUGGACCAAUUCUGACACUGAGGAGCGAAAGCCAGGGGAGCAAACGGG
rnacentral:rRNA from 1 species